UGAGGAAUCUUGCGCAAUGGGGGAAACCCUGACGCAGCAACGCCGCGUGAGUGAGGAAGGUCUUCGGAUCGUAAAGCUCUGUCGGGUGGAAAGAAAUGUAUGGGGUGAAUAGCCUUCAUACUUGACGGUACCACCAAAGGAAGCACCGGCUAACUCCGUGCCAGCCGCCGCGGUAAUACGGGGGGUGCAAGCGUUGUUCGGAAUUAUUGGGCGUAAAGAGCGUGUAGGCGGCUUGUCAAGUCAGAUGUGAAAGCCCUGGGCUUAACCCAGGAAGUGCAUUGGAAACUGGCAGGCUAGAGUAGGGGAGAGGGAAGUGGAAUUCCUGGUGUAGAGGUGAAAUUCGUAGAUAUCAGGAGGAACACCGGUGGCGAAGGCGACUUCCUGGCCCUAUACUGACGCUGAGACGCGAGAGCGUGGGUAGCAAACA
rnacentral:rRNA from 1 species